rnacentral:rRNA from 1 species
UGCGUAGGUGGCGAGGUAAGUCUGAUGUGAAAUCUCCGAGCUUAACUCGGAAAUGGCAUUGGAAACUACUUUGCUUGAGGGUUGGGAGGGGGGACUGGAAUACUUGGUGUAGCAGUGAAAUGCGUAGAUAUCAAGUGGAACACCAGUGGCGAAGGCGAGUCCCUGGACAACUCCUGACACUGAGGCACGAAAGCUAGGGAGGCAAACA